rnacentral:tRNA from 1 species
GCCGGGGUGGCGGAAUUGGUAGACGCUGGGGACUUAAAAUCCCUUGUCCUAAUCGACGUGCCGGUUCGAGUCCGGCCCUCGGUACCA